GCCCAUAGCAGAUCUUCUCUGAUCUUGAAAACUAAACAGAGCAGCAGCUGGUUAGUUCUUGGAUGGGAAACCAGCUUGGAAUGCCAGGUGCUGGAGGCA
rnacentral:rRNA from 1 species